rnacentral:rRNA from 1 species
GACGAACGCUGGCGGCGUGCCUAAUACAUGCAAGUCGAGCGAAGUUUUUCUGGUGCUUGCACUAGAAAAACUUAGCGGCGAACGGGUGAGUAACACGUAAAGAACCUGCCUCAUAGACUGGGACAACUAUUGGAAACGAUAGCUAAUACCGGAUAACAGUAUUUCUCGCAUGAGAGAUAUUUAAAAGUUGGUUAUGCUAACACUAUGAGAUGGCUUUGCGGUGCAUUAGCUAGUUGGUGGGGUAAAGGCCCACCAAGGCGACGAUGCAUAGCCGACCUGAGAGGGUGAUCGGCCACACUGGGACUGAGACACGGCCCAGACUCCUACGGGAGGCAGCAGUAGGGAAUCUUCCGCAACGGGCGAAAGCCUGACGGAGCAACGCCGCGUGAGUGAAGAAGGAUUUCGGUUCGUAAAGCUCUGUUGUUAGGGAAGAAUGGAUAUGUAGUAACUAUACAUGUAAGAGACGGUACCUAACCAGAAAGCCACGGCUAACUACGUG